CUCUCUCAGAACAUAUGGACUGGAAAACCUAGUAAACAUUCAAGAGAUCAGGUAGCUAGAGCACCAGAGCUCAAAGUUCUCCCUACAUGAAUCAGCACAGGUGGCCCUUGGAAUAACCCUUUGAAACAUUUGAGAAACAUUCAGCAGAACAGCAGAAGGUCUGGUGGCAGCCUUCAUCUGCACCGCAGGGGGUCCCCCUCUAAAGACAGCUCCAGGACAUGGUCUCCCUCAGAAAAAUUCAUUGGGUAA